CGCGCCGGCCCGCCUAAUCGUGCGCAACGAGCCGGGGACCCACGUACGUCCGGGGUGAAUCCGCGGGGCCGACCCGUGGUAGGGCGAUCUUCCCGCCCGAAUCCGUCAGCUAACCCGGUAGGCGGUAUCGGAAGGAGUA
rnacentral:sRNA from 1 species